UUAUUUGCAAUAUUGUUAAUAAUAUAUGCAUAAUUUUCAAAAAUUAUCCCAUUUUCCAAAUUAAAUACGUUUUUAAUUUUUUCCACCUCCCUAAAUUGGUUUAUAAUUGUUUUAAUUGGAUUUUCGACAUUAAUGUGGAAGAACGAUUCGAACGUUUUUUCGUUUAAUAUUUUGCGCCCCGAAAUUCUUUUUCCUAAACCGGUAAAAAAAACUCGAUUCUCAAAAAUACGGUUAUCGGUAAAAAAAAUGUCGUAAAUUGUACCGAAUGUUAUUUUUUAUUAUUAAAUAAAAUCGGACCAUAGUUGAAUACGCGUGGGAUAUUAUUUGUUUCGCGGGUUGGUAAUAAAUUUUUUCGAGGUUAAUUUCCGGUCCUGUUUAAUUUCGAAACGGGAAAAAACCAAAUUAUGCAAAACAAAAAUAUAUUUGUUAAUUGUAAUCGGUUAAAUUUGUUAUUUUGCCGUAUUAGCGCGUUAUCGCUCCCGCUGUCGUUUUUUAUCCGCUUUUUCCGCACGUUAUUGCUUUUUUUCUGCGCGUUAUUUUGCUUUUCGCAACUGUUUUCUCAGCUUUUCCACAUUCGUCGAUCCAUUUAUAACGCGUAGGGGCAUAGGUUAUAUUGCGGGUUAAUUAGAAUAUAAUUGUCGCAACCCGAAUAUUUUAAAUUGCGGCGUUAUUUAAAUGGAACCGUAUUACGUACGCAUAUUGCGAGGGGUAAUUUGUCCGAAACACCCAAAUUAACGAAUCGACCGAUGCACGGACGUAUUUAAAUAUACAAUUAACCAGGGCCUUGGGCCGGGUAAUUGGAUUACAUUUGAACUUAUAUUUAUUAGUAAUUUUUGGCGGCUAUAAAACUUCGGCCUUCCAUAUUUAUAUGCAUAUUUGCAGGGACCAAUUGUGCGGUCGUAAUAUUUAAUAGAAAAUUUCCUGCGGCGGUUUUUGCAUCAAAUGGUAUUUAUAGGCGGUUUGGACGGUGUUUAGCCUAUAUAAGCGAUUAGCGAUUCAGGGCUUCAAAUAACGGCCGGACCAUUAAUUUAAUCGUAUAUAAUUGGCUAAUUAAACUUUUAAUUUUGCGUACGGUCCUUUAUUACCUGGCGCCAAAUAAUAAUGGUUUCCUGGCUGUCCAAUUUAAUAUAUUUUACGCGUUGGAGCAGCAAAUACCAUAUAAUAUUAUAUUAGUUAAUUUCGUUGGUACGUUUUAGCCAAAAUAAUAUAUUGGACUAUUAUCGUUAUAAAUAUAAUAUUUCCUAAAUGCGUUAAAAAUGGGGUAAAUUAAAAUAAAAAUUGUAAACUGGUAAUUUACCACGGUAUUACGGUUUUGGAAUAUUGGAGUGGAAUUACAGUCCUAAACGUAUUUGAAUGCGUAUAAACGACGGCGCGUAUUAAAAUAAUUUUAUACCAUUUUUGCCCAGUGCAGGGAUUUUUUUAUACGCCCCGUUUAUAAAAUUCUAUAUCCGCACCGUAUAAAAAUAUAAAAUGUGACCUAUAAUUAUAGGGCCACCUUCCGUUUACGGAAUAUAAUUCCGAUAGGUUUACCCAGUUCGACCACAAUAAUUGCUUUUAUAUCCGGUGUUUUUUUAACCGCCAUGGAUUAUUAGCCCUAUUUUUCCGAAAAACCAUUUGGAUUAUUACCGAAGGUAUUUAGGUAAUUUAGUGUGGAUUUCCUAGUUUUACAUCCCAAAAUGGCCGGCGUUUAAUAAAAAGUAAAUAAAGUAGGAAUAUGGGACAAAAAUAACGAUGGGCGUCCAGAAGUUUUUGGACGAGUUUGGUUCCCAAUAAAUUUCAAACAAAAUUUGUUUUGGCGCAUCCAAAUUUUUAAUUUGUUAAUUUGCCUGUUAAAAGUCCAAUAGCACGGCGAAUAAUUAAAUUUUGCGAAAAAAACCUUUAUUUUUAUAUAUUAUUUUUUUAAUAAGGUUGUAACGUUUUAACGAAGGAAUAUAUAUUUUGGCCCGUUUGCUGCCGACCUAAUAAUACUAACGGCAGUAAUAAAUAUAUAUAAUAGGUUUAAAUUCCAAUUUUGUUUUUUACCCGCAUUUUGGGGUAAAUAUUCCUAUUGGUUUUUACUUUUUAUAAAAAAAUAUAUAUUAAAACGCAUCGAUCCUAUUAUUAUAUUGGCGGUGUCUUUUUUAGGUAAAAAUUAAAUUAGACCUUAACAGGUAGGAAUUUCUGCAGCUCGAACCAUAAAAAACCAAUAUUAAAAAACAAGGGGUUCGAAUAUUUUGCUCCCGUUUAUUUGUAGCUGGUUAUUUGUGGGUUUUUCGGAAUAUUACGUUGGUUGUCCGGGCCGGAUACGUUAUUCCGUACAAUAAAUUAAAAAGCGGUGAAAAUUAGCAAAAUGGGGGAGGGUAAAUACGGACCAGGCCAUUUUUAAAUCCUUUAUUGCGAAGAUUGGCGAUUAGUAAUAUAAUGGGGUUUUUUAUCCUUAUGGUUUAUUAGUUCGCUUUAUAAUUGUUCGAUAACAAAUUAGGCAAUUAGGGUGGGUGGGUAUUUAUUAGAUUCGCUAUUUCGAUUAACGUUUCCAUUUUAAAUGGCAGGUAAUUUUAUCGAUUUAUAUUAUCCUAAUAAAAAACGGGCCCCUCCUUUUUACAAUUCCUAAGCACGGAUUAUAAUAAAUAUGGUAUUUUUUUAUUUUACGUUAAUUGUUUGUUUUAUUUAUUCCUAUUUGUAAUUGCCACCAUUCGUUUUUUCCAUUUCGUGCAUAUAUUAUUAUAGAAUAAUAUAUUAGCCCUUUCGACAUUUUUGGUUUAAAAUAUGGAAUUUAUUUAAAAGACUAGAUCCAAAACGUUUUCCAAAUGGUAUUUUCGAUAAUUUAUAGAAAUUUUCGUAGCGAAAACACGUCCAAUAAACCAAAAUGGCUCACUUUCGAACAAAUAACCAGCGCCAAAAAUUUAUUAUUUAAUUUAUCGCAAAUGGGAUCGCAAUUUACGGAAAAUGCAAAAAAAUUCAGCAUUUUUUCCCGGACAGUUUUUGUGGAAAGAAAGGAUAAAACGAACGAAAUUAUAUUUAUAUCCUUUUUAAAGUUACAAAUCCACGAAUUAUUAGUUUUUUGCGAUAAAUAUUAGGUUAUUAUACAUAAAAAAAACCUGCGACAAUAUCGGCAAACCCAUAAUAAUUAUUAUUAUAUAUAUUGCGAGGCCGAAUUUUUACGAUAAGAAUAUUUGAGCUAUUUUACUAUUAAUAAUUUUAACAAAUGCCAAAUUUGCUGCAAAAUUAUUACGAAAGGGGCGUAUACCAAAUACCUGGAGCGGAUAUAUGGAUGGGCAAAAUACCCCUUUUAUUUAAUAUUUUACCCUAAUUUGGACCGGAUGCAAAAACAUUUGGGCGCGAUAUAUUUAAUAAAACGUUGCAGUUUUUGCCCCGAAAAUAAUAUAUACGAGCUGUUAAUCCAUGUUUUUGUGGGUUAUUAAUAUGUGACCUGCUUUUGCGGGGCCGAAAUUUGCAACGAAUCGCUAUUGGGUUAUUUAAAACGGUAAUAUUAAUUUUCGGCCUGCUUUAGCGGCGAAAUUUGUAUUAUAAACGGUUACGACAAUUACAAUUUUAUUUUGGUUUAUAUUAGCAAAUCGCAUUCCCCAAACCAAUGCCCGGUUUGCGAAUGUUUUAUUUUUGGGACCGGAACGUUUUGGAAUUAUUUAUCCCAAAAAUAUUAUUUCCGGUUUUGCGAAAAAUAUAAUAUUUCGGAUUAUUAUUAAACGGUAACAAAAAUUUAAUUUAAUUAGCGAUAAUUAUACCUGGACGAAAACCAUUUAUGGAAAAAAUAUCGCAAUUGUUAAACUGGUAUUUAAAUAAAUCAAAUGCCAGAAUAUUUCCAAAAUUCCUAUGGUUAUAUAAUAUGCGAUAUUUACGCCGACGUAUGGCCCCCCAAUAAAUUAAAAGGAUAUAAAAUGCGACAGCACCGUCGCUGCGAAAUUUGCGAUAUAUAUAUUUUAAACGAAAAUUACCUCUAAUAUUUAACCACGCACGGAAAAAAACCUUGCCCGCUAUACGACGAAAUUCUUUUCCUAAAUAAAUUUCCCCUUUAUUUUUCGAUUAAAUAUACCGAAACGAAUAUUUGCCCUAUAUCCGAUUGCAAAAUAUAUUAUUUUAAAUUAGGUUUGCAAGUUUAUAUUUGCCAGACCCACGGGUGGGGAAAAUGCCGUUUUUAUAAUAUUAUAACUGUUUUUGGGCAACUAUUGCGAAAUUAUAAAUUUAAAUAUAGCCCCAAAAUUUGCCAGAUUUGUAACGAGCAAAUUCCUGCAAACGAUUUUCGACAAUAUUAAAAGGCCGAAUAUUAAAUCCAAAAAUGCCCCUUUUGCGAAAAAUUAGGGAAUAACCUUUUCCAUUAUAUUUACAAUUAUUACCUUUUAGUCGAAAUAAACGCGAAAAAUGCAAACCAAAAUAAUACGGUAUUUAAUUUCCGCAAAGGGGUUUGUAAAACCGAUAUUGGGCUGGUUAUACCCAAUCCUGCCUUUUAACCAGCGCAAAACAAAUUUUGGGGUAUUUAUAAUUUAUUAAAUAAUGUGCGAAAAUUUUUAAAACAAAGUUUAUUAACGUUUUUUUAUCCAACGAUUAUUUUAUUUGCAACUAAUAUUAUAGGGUCGAUUGGAAAUAUAUUGGAAAUUCGGAGUUGACAAAAUAUACGUAACGCCAGGGCUAUAACACCUAUCCGUAAUUAGGUAAAUAUUUUAUCGGAAAAAAAAAAUAUAAACGUAUUAUUUCGACAAAUAAAAUUACCUGAGGAAAUUUAUUUUAAUCGGCGGUUUGAACGAUUAUAUAUAUUACCAAAAUGUGUAACAAAACGCAAUUUUGCCGAAAAUUAUACCAUACCCGCUAACAAACGUUGCAAAAAAGUUAAUAUAAAACAAUUGGUUACCCAUAUUGGAAAUGGAAAAACCAAAUUUGGAUUUCGUGCCUUUGUUCAAUUAUAUUUUACUAAUAUAAAAA
rnacentral:sRNA from 1 species